UUAGAAGAUUGAGUUCUUCUGCCUAAAAAGUUCACUUUUUUAUUGUUUGAAUUUGGCGCUCAGGCCGGCUAGUGUGUCGUCACCUGCAGCGCCGCAUGUGCGUCCCAGCGUCUCUUUGGGGAAAAGAGUAAGCUGGGAGGUCCGUCGUUUUCUCUGCCUAGGGUGGCGCUGUGGGCUGCCUCAGGCCCCCCUGCUUUGCAGCCAGCUUGGAGCUCGCUGGUCCGGAGGAUGGGCGACGUCAGUUCCGGUUGGGGGUGGGACAGCCACACGAGGCCGCGUCUUCCGGUUCCGGACGCGGCCUAGGAAAGCGGACCACGCACGCUGGCUGGUGCAGUCUCUCCAGUCUGAGGUGUCAGCAAAGGAGACAACAGACCACCGCUCCGCUGAGCAGCAAUGUCGGAGACAGAGGUCUCGAGGACAGCUCCAUCCGAGGAAAGCGCCAGCCAGCCGCAGGUAAGGGAACCCUGGGGUGGUGUUCACCUGCCUAUACCCUGUUAGCUCCACGGGUGUUUUCCCUUCCUGGUGGUCGGUGGGGAUAGGAGUUUCUGGGACCCUGGUGGUGGUUGGUCCUGGGGGGCACUCCUGGUGAUCCCUGUGUUUAUUGCUGGUGGGCCCCAG